UGACCUCGAUCAGAGC
rnacentral:rRNA from 1 species